UGAUAGCCAAAUUGCCUCUUCAAUGAAAAUAAAGAUGAUAUCAAGCUCAACAAAAGCGUUUCUUGGGACUCUCAUAAUCCUGUCUAUUAGUGGCCAAAUAGUAAAUGGUAAUGACGACAUAUCAAUCUGCAAGAAAAGCUUAGAGACAUUAAAAGACAACGUGAAAGAAUGGAUGGAAACUUGCGUUGAUAAAAAUGGCAAUGACGAUAACACAACUGCAUGCAAGGAAGUAAAACAAUACAACAAAGAAAUGAUGCAAAUGCAAACAGAAAUGUGUUUUUACAAAGAUGUUUAUCCAAAGCCAUAUUUGAUUAUUAUGAGCUUUGAUAAAAUAUACUCUGUUGAUUCUAUUACUGGAGAUAUUCAUGUCAGCACUA